rnacentral:tRNA from 3 species
GCCUUGGUAGCUCAGCUGGAUAGAGCACUCGCCUCCUAAGCGAGGGGUCGUGAGUUCAAAUCUCGCCCAGGGCACCA